CUACUGUUGUUUUGCAUACUGUGAGAAAUUGAAGGUGUACUUCAUGUGUUUGAGAAAAUGUCGCACAGGCAUGAACUUGACUCGAACUGGCCCAAGCUACUGACCAAACCGAACUGAGUUGGCCAGUCAAGCUAAAGGACCAAGCCGAUUAUGCCAAACUCGACUCGGUUCAACUCGUGUACAGCUUUAUCAAGAACUAACCUUGAAAUCAGGGUAAGUUACAAACAAAACCAGGGACUGCCUGGUUUUCCUGACCCAGUGACCAGGCUCAUGAUCUGGCUGGAUUGAUAGUGACAAAUCUCAUUCUUAGCAAUUUCUCGGCCUGGAAGUUUCAGGCGAGAUUUUCAAUUUUGAGGUUUUUCUAAAGCUAUUGUAGAGAAAAUCUCACCAAAA